CUGACCCAGCGACGCCGCGUGAGGGAUGAAGNNNNNCGGGUUGUAAANNNCNUUCAGCAGGGAAGAAGCGAAAGUGACGGUACCUGCAGAAGAAGCACCGGCUAACUAUGUGCCAGCAGCCGCGGUAAUACAUAGGGUGCAAGCGUUGUCCGGAAUUAUUGGGCGUAAAGAGCUCGUAGGUGGUUAGUUACGUCGGAUGUGAAAAUCUAGGGCUCAACCCUAGACCUGCAUCCGAUACGGGCUAGCUUGAGUUUGGUAGGGGAGACUGGAAUUCCUGGUGUAGCGGUGGAAUGCGCAGAUAUCAGGAGGAACACCAAUGGCGAAGGCAGGUCUCUGGGCCAAUACUGACACUGAGGAGCGAAAGUGUGGGGAGCGAACAGGAUUAGAUACCCUGGUAGUCCACACAGUAAACGAUGGGCACCAGUUGUGGGAACCUUCCACGGUUUCUGCGACGCAGCUAACGCAUUAAGUGCCCCGCCUGGGGAGUACGAUCGCAAGAUUAAAACUCAAAGGAAUUGACGGGGCCCCGCACAAGCAGCGGAGCAUGCGGCUUAAUUCGACGCAACGCGAAGAACCUUACCAAGGCUUGACAUAUACAGGAAUAUGGCAGAGAUGUCAUAGCCGCAAGGUCUAUAUACAGGUGGUGCAUGGUUGUCGUCAGCUCGUGUCGUGAGAUGUUGGGUUAAGUCCCGCAACGAGCGCAACCCUCGUUCUGUGUUGCCAGCAUUUAGUUGGGGACUCACAGGAGACUGCCGGGGUCAACUCGGAGGAAGGU
rnacentral:rRNA from 1 species